rnacentral:rRNA from 1 species
UGGGGAAUUUUGGACAAUGGGCGAAAGCCUGAUCCAGCAAUGCCGCGUGUGUGAAGAAGGCCUUCGGGUUGUAAAGCACUUUUGUCCGGAAAGAAAUCCUUGGCUCUAAUACAGUCGGGGGAUGACGGUACCGGAAGAAUAAGCACCGGCUAACUACGUGCCAGCAGCCGCGGUAAUACGUAGGGUGCAAGCGUUAAUCGGAAUUACUGGGCGUAAAGCGUGCGCAGGCGGUUUGCUAAGACCGAUGUGAAAUCCCCGGGCUCAACCUGGGAACUGCAUUGGUGACUGGCAGGCUAGAGUAUGGCAGAGGGGGGUAGAAUUCCACGUGUAGCAGUGAAAUGCGUAGAGAUGUGGAGGAAUACCGAUGGCGAAGGCAGCCCCCUGGGCCAAUACUGACGCUCAUGCACGAAAGCGUGGGGAGCAAACAGGAUUAGAUACCCUGGUAGUCCACGCCCUAAGCGAUGUCAACUAGUUGUUGGGGAUUCAUUUCCUUAGUAACGUAGCUAACGCGUGAAGUUGACCGCCUGGGGAGUACGGUCGCAAGAUUAAAACUU